UGAUUUACAUUUGAGUGAGUGGCGAACUGGUGAGUAACACGUGGGAAACCUGCCCAGAAGCGGGGGAUAACACCUGGAAACAGAUGCUAAUACCGCAUAACAACUUGGACCGCAGGGUCCGAGUUUGAAAGAUGGCUUCGGCUAUCACUUUUGGAUGGUCCCGCGGCGUAUUAGCUAGAUGGUGGGGUAACGGCUCACCAUGGCAAUGAUACGUAGCCGACCUGAGAGGGUAAUCGGCCACAUUGGGACUGAGACACGGCCCAAACUCCUACGGGAGGCAGCAGUAGGGAAUCUUCCACAAUGGACGAAAGUCUGAUGGAGCAACGCCGCGUGAGUGAAGAAGGGUUUCGGCUCGUAAAACUCUGUUGUUAAAGAAGAACAUAUCUGAGAGUAACUGUUCAGGUAUUGACGGUAUUUAACCAGAAAGCCACGGCUAACUACGUGCCAGCAGCCGCGGUAAUACGUAGGUGGCAAGCGUUGUCCGGAUUUAUUGGGCGUAAAGCGAGCGCAGGCGGUUUUUUAAGUCUGAUGUGAAAGCCUUCGGCUCAACCGAAGAAGUGCAUCGGAAACUGGGAAACUUGAGUGCAGAAGAGGACAGUGGAACUCCAUGUGUAGCGGUGAAAUGCGUAGAUAUAUGGAAGAACACCAGUGGCGAAGGCGGCUGUCUGGUCUGUAACUGACGCUGAGGCUCGAAAGUAUGGGUAGCAAACAGGAUUAGAUACCCUGGUAGUCCAUACCGUAAACGAUGAAUGCUAAGUGUUGGAGGGUUUCCGCCCUUCAGUGCUGCAGCUAACGCAUUAAGCAUUCCGCCUGGGGAGUACGGCCGCAAGGCUGAAACUCAAAGGAAUUGACGGGGGCCCGCACAAGCGGUGGAGCAUGUGGUUUAAUUCGAAGCUACGCGAAGAACCUUACCAGGUCUUGACAUACUAUGCAAAUCUAAGAGAUUAGACGUUCCCUUCGGGGACAUGGAUACAGGUGGUGCAUGGUUGUCGUCAGCUCGUGUCGUGAGAUGUUGGGUUAAGUCCCGCAACGAGCGCAACCCUUAUUAUCAGUUGCCAGCAUUAAGUUGGGCACUCUGGUGAGACUGCCGGUGACAAACCGGAGGAAGGUGGGGAUGACGUCAAAUCAUCAUGCCCCUUAUGACCUGGGCUACACACGUGCUACAAUGGAUGGUACAACGAGUUGCGAACUCGCGAGAGUAAGCUAAUCUCUUAAAGCCAUUCUCAGUUCGGAUUGUAGGCUGCAACUCGCCUACAUGAAGUCGGAAUCGCUAGUAAUCGCGGAUCAGCAUGCCGCGGUGAAUACGUUCCCGGGCCUUGUACACACCGCCCGUCACACCAUGAGAGUUUGUAACACCCAAAGUCGGUGG
rnacentral:rRNA from 1 species